AUUAGAUGAGCCUAUAUUAGAUUAGCUAGUUGGUGGAGUAAUAGCCUACCAAGGCAAUGAUCUAUAGCUGAUCUGAGAGGAUGAUCAGCCACACUGGAACUGAGAUACGGUCCAGACUCCUACGGGAGGCAGCAGUGGGGAAUAUUGGACAAUGGGCGAAAGCCUGAUCCAGCUAUGCCGCAUGAGUGAAGAAGGCCUUUGGGUUGUAAAGCUCUUUUAGUGAGGAAGAUAAUGACGGUACUCACAGAAGAAGUCCUGGCUAACUCCGUGCCAGCAGCCGCGGUAAUACGGAGAGGGCUAGCGUUAUUCGGAAUUAUUGGGCGUAAAGGGCGCGUAGGCUGAUUAAUAAGUUAAAAGUGAAAUCCCGAGGCUUAACCUUGGAAUUGCUUUUAAAACUAUUAAUCUAGAGAUUGAAAGAGGAUAGAGGAAUUCCUGAUGCAGAGGUAAAAUUCGUAAAUAUUAGGAGGAACACCAGUGGCGAAGGCGUCUAUCUGGUUCAAAUCUGACGCUGAGGCGCGAAGGCGUGGGGAGCAAACAGGAUUAGAUACCCUGGUAGUCCACGCUAUAAACGAUGAAUGUUAAAUAUGGGAAG
rnacentral:rRNA from 1 species